AGGAAAAGAAGGGAAGAGAAAGAAAAAAGAGAAAAUGGAGGUAUAUGAUAGAUAGGAAAGGAAGAGCCACAAAGAUAGCCUGUCCACUGUUGCCUGAGCACUGCCAUGGAGACAUUGUGAGGUAGGCCUCAGAGCUGGAGAAGAGAGGAAGCAGGCAGGCAGCAGUUCUGGCACCACCCAGGCAAUUCCAGUGGCCCAAAACACUGGAAGGAGAGCUUACUUAUUAAGCAGAACACUUUCUACUGGCUUCUUUUUGAAUCUUUAUAAGAAGAAAAUAUAGUUGACAUUUUGAAUGAAACUUCAACAUUCAAGAAGAGGCCCAGAAUAUCUCAAGAGACCAGCCCCCCUCUCCAACUACAGCCUUGAGGCAGAAGAGCAUAACAAAAUAUGCUAUAGUGUAAGUUCAUGGUUUAAUGUAGAGAUGUUUACUAAGUCCAUCAGACUUUACGAGAGAUGUGAACCCACCUACUGAUCACAAUAAAGAUAAGGGCAACUAUGCACCUUUCUUUUUUCCACUGCCUUAUUGAAUCCAUUUUGGAAAAUCCAUCCUGGAAGAAUGCUUGAUUUAGCAACGGCUUCAUACUUACCAUGACAAUUAAUAUUACAUACAUCCCCCAAUGGCGCAGCAGGUUAAACUACUGAGCUGCUGAACUUGAUGCCCAAAAGGUCGGCUGUUCGAAUCCAAAGAGCAGGGAGAGCUCCCACUGUUAGUCCCAGCUUCUGCCAACCUAGCAGUUCAAAAACAUGCAAAUGGGAGUAGACCAAUAGGUACCGCUACAGUGGGAAGGUGACAGCACUCCAUGCAGUCAUGCCAGCCACAUGACCUUGGAGGUGUCUACAGACAACGCUGGCUAUUCGUCUUAGAAAUGGAGAUGAGUACCAACCUCCAGUUGGACACGACUAGAUUUAAUGUCAAGGGAAAACAUUUACCUUUACUUACAUCAGUUAAUUCAAGCUGUAGGCAAUCCUUUGCUGUAUCAACAAAAUUUUUAUAAAGAUUUGGAAAUAAUUUCUACUGCAUUAACUAGUUAAAGUAAUAGGAAAGUCAAAUGAAUAAUUUAUUUACUAAGGCAGAGUAGUGAGUAACAAAGAUGAAAGUCCACAUUUUUAUGCGAUUAAAAACAAACAAACAAAGAGUACGUUAUUAGUGCUGAGAGACCAACAGAUCCCGCAAAUUUCUAUUUUGGUACAUCCUCAUCAUACAGUGAAUAACUUCACUUUAACAUAUGAUGGAUAUUUGUGUAUGGGACUUCAAAUUGUCAGCUUAUAGCAACACCAUGAAUUUACCCUGAUUUAAAUGUAGAUGCAUGUAGAACGUUGAAGAUAUUAUAUAUCUCAAUACAAAGGCAAGAAUGAAACAAAAUUUAUGAAAGCAUGGCAUGUGCACCAUUCUCUCGUUGCACUGAACAAGUGAAAAAGAUCAAAAUAUAGUUUUCAACCCAAAAUCACUGUCAGUGAAAUAACACAGACAGGACCACUGACCCAAAAUAUGAUAUCUCUGUACAGAUUCGCUUUUGCAUAGCAGCUUCUUCUCCCAUAAAAAAGACCCAGCUAAUGAGAUUCAAUUCACACCAUAAGAAAAUACUCAUAGCCAUGCUUUCGAGUUCAUAGUUUCAUUCAACUAAAAACAAAAAAUAUACAUGACAAACCAUGACAGCGCAGGGAGAAUGGCAAAUUUUGUGAGCUACCCUCAUUCUGUCUUGCAAACCUCACACACAAACUCAAAAUGGAUCUGAAGCACAAAGGUGGGUGGAAAGGGGGAAAAUGUAAAAAAAUAUGGUGCUACUUGUGCACUAAGAAGUACAUACUCUGGACCAGCUAGGUAGAGUGGACAACAAUAGUCAGCUCAGAAGGAACUUUUGGUUUUAACUCAUUGAAAACUCUGCUUUUAAAAGUUACCUCCUUUGAAAGCCACGUGCACCAGGUCAGGAGGGGAAAAACAGAGAAGGAACAAAUGCAUGGCCCCAUGGCUUGAUUAACCGUAUUUUAAUUGACUAAGAUCAUGAUGUGAAAGCCAGUGUCACUUCUAAACCUAUGCCACAAAAUUAUCAGAGGUCCCACAACCUCUGUCCUUUGGCAUGCACCAUCUUCAGUUACAACUGGAAAGAGACCGCCUUAAUUUUAUGGAUCACUAGGUAAGGGAGGAUCUCUAGCAGUAAUCGGUAGCACAAAUCUCACUGUCUGUGCACAAAUGCACACCAGCCAUUAUCUGCAACUGAAAUAAAUAAAACCCAGAUACUCUCUGGGUUAUUUCUAAUCCUAUUCCAUCAUUUCGUUUGAGCAUACAAAGUACUGAUGGUUUUACAUGUUCCGUGAAGCACAAUCCAAAGUCUGUCUGAAAAUAACCUUAAUUUGUCUGUACUUUGUAUGUGUAAUGAUGGAAAUUAACAUUGUUCAGCUAGUUUUUGCUUGAAGGCAGCAAUAUACAACAAUCAAUCAAAGUUUUUUUUUAAACCGUAAUCCUACUUGUCCUUAAUAUAACCCCAUUUCCUACCUCCUUUGAGGCAACAUACUAAAUUCAGCAUUUAUUGAAAAAAAGGGUUCUUCACCUUUUUGUAAAGGACUUUAAAAGGAGGUAACCUUUACUCUAGAGACUGGUUACUGCCCUAGAAACAGAUAUGUGGGCAUCAUUGUAUAGAUUUCAUAGCUUUUGUAUGCUACUCCUAUAUGCUACUAUGGCUUCCAGCAGGAUUUCAUUUAAAAAUGUACAUCAAUUCUACAUAUCCCAAAUAAGCUCUGCACAGGAGUUUUUAACAUACUCCUUCCACUCUCUGUCUUAGCAAGCAGAGUCCUGUAGCACAGAAUUGCUCAUGACAUCCACUUCAUCAUUUCUUCUUGCACACUUGAAGCCUUUUCAAUCAUAGCACAGGGAUCCCUGUGGAUGGUUAGAUUUCAUAAACCCACAAUUGUUUCCUAACAUACUGUCAAAAAAGAGCCACAAAUCAUCCUUACAUGCACGCACACAGACACUGUCACAAGGCAUGAAAGAGUCAAAGUAGGAACAAAGUCUCUACAUCACAUUGGGUAAAAAACAAAACAAAACAAAAACCGAAACCUGGACAUUCCCAGAGCUCUAUCAUAGCGAAGUACAUAUCCAAAAAGCAUGAAAAGCUGAGGCAAACCAUCAAGUGGGUCCACAGAACAGGUACUCAUUUCCAAGCUGUCCAGAGCUCCAUCACCACAACAUGAAUUGUCACCCAUCGAAGUGUUGCAGUUGCUAUUGGCUGGUGACUUCUUUAUCUUCUUCAUACCCUCAGGCCAAUCCUUAUCAUGACUCAUGAUUGCAAAGUUUCAUUCCUGGCCAGUGUGGCAGUUUCAACAGGCCACUGAAUGCAACUACUAUCACUUAACUCUGAACAAGCAGCAGCAGCAUUUUAUAAUUAAUGCCUACUGCAUGCCAUCAGUGGUAUAUAGUACAAGGUUGUUCCCCUAACAGAAGACAACAUGCUGUGGUCACAGGAUGAGUUUCAUUUGCUUUUGUGGGUAUGUGUUGGUGUCCAGAUGCCAAAACAGGCAAUGAAGCUGUAUAUGCAAGAGAAGAUCUGACAAGUUCAAGUCUCCAUCUAUUUUAAGAUGAUGUGGUAACUAUCAUUGGUUUCAGCUGCAAAGAAAGCAUAGCAUCAUCAAUGUCUGAUUAAAUAAAAAGCGUACAUCCCUGCUGUCUUUCACCCACUUCCCAAUGAAAAGGAUGGAUGGCUGCACAAGAGAUAUGUUACACUGUCUGUGCUUUUGAUAUUCAGUUGGGGUUGCAGGGGCAGGAGAAUAUAUUGAGUUCUAUGUUCUCCAGGAUGGGAAAAUGUAGUGUUGUGCAUUGAAAGAAAGAAAGAAAAAACAAGUACCUUUCAUUGUGUCCAAGAUAAAACAUGAUUCAUCUUGAAAGUUCUGUAUCAUCUAAAAGAAAGAAUAAAAAAAUGUAAACUGUAGAGAUCUGGCCACUGUUCACUCAUCAAAGGCCAAUUGCACUAUUUUAGAUAUAAGAAGUGUUCAAACAAUCUGCCCAUCUUAAAAAAAUAAUCAUACUUACUUCAAUUAUGCUUUGAGUAAAGUGCAAAGACCUCACAUCCUUGCAACACUUUUAAGCUGCUACUAUUGAAAUAAACCCAGUGCCAAAGAAUUGAGAAAAGGUUCUUUAAAAACUUUCUAGAAUAUUCUUUCCUAACUUCCAAGGUAAGAACCACAAUGUUUCAUUUCAUUCAUCUGUGUCUACUUUUGGAGACUAUUCAAUUACCCUAGCUCCCACUCUCUCUUUUGAGUUCCCUACAAAGAUGAUUUGGAUACCAACUUGCUAAUACACUUGGUGCUUUGUCCUCCUUCAAAUUAACACUACAGGCAGUACUCAAACUACAAACACCUCUCAAAAAUGACUCAUAGUGAAUUAUGGGGCGAGACAACAGAAAGUAAGAGCAAUCUACCUCUAGGAAGAGAAAUUCACUCCUGAAAGAAUUAUGGGGAAAGGGUAUCUCCACUGAAGCUUUAUCACCAAUCUUUCUUUCCACAACAAGCCAUGUUUUUCAAAUUUCCAAUUCUCACAGGGACAGAAAGUGAGGUGAAAUCUCCUGAACAGGAGCACAGACAGCAAAACAAAAACCUCAAGCCACCUCCACAGCAAAUACAAGACUGCUAUGAACAUGGUAGAUUUUGUGUUUAUGGUAAACCAUUCUGAACAAGUUCUCAUCUGGAAAUAAGGGGAUGGAUCCAGACUUUGUCCUACUUAAGAGUAGACCUACUAAAAGCAAGGGGGCUUCAAUUAGUAUAACACAGUUGUCUCCAUCUAGUGUCUUCCAUAGUUUAGAUUAUAAUUCCCAAAUCUUUUGACCAUUGGCUAUUCUGGCUGGCGUUAAUGAGAGUCUGGAGAGCAGCAAGUUAGGGAAGGUUAAACUAAACAAAAAAUAUGGACUCAACACAAUGAGUCACUAUGAGAUCAUGUUAAUGUCAAUUUUCCUUUUUAAUUCUAAGAGAUUGGAUUAAUCUUUAAUCGCUUAUAUUUAUUUCCACUGUUUCUGAAUAUCCUCAAGGCACUCUUACCUCAUCACUUAUAAGUACAUGUAUCCCUGUGGGUCCUUGUUUGUAGAUCUGACUUAUCUGUUGAGCAGAAAUGCUAAAAAGUUGGGCAAUUUUCUCUGUCAACUCCACAGCAGUCAACUCUUCUAAGUAGAUGGCAUGAUACAC